rnacentral:rRNA from 1 species
GAUGAACGCUGGCGGCGUGCCUAAUACAUGCAAGUCGAGCGAACGGACGAGAAUCUUGCUUCUCUGAUGUUAGCGGCGGACGGGUGAGUAACACGUGGAUAACCUAGCUAUAAGACUUGGAUAACUUCGGGAAACCGGAGCUAAUACCGGAUAAUAUUUUGAACCGCAUGGUUCAAAAGUGAAAGACGGUCUUGCUGUCACUUAUAGCUGGCUCCGCGCUGCAUUAGCUAGUUGGUAGGGUAACGGCUUACCAAGGCAACGAUGCAUAGCCGACCUGAGAGGGUGAUCGGCCACACUGGAACUGAGACACGGUCCAGACUCCUACGGGAGGCAGCAGUAGGGAAUCUUCGGCAAUGGGCGAAAGCCUGACGGAGCAACGCCGCGUGAGUGAUGAAGGUCUUCGGAUCGUAAAACUCUGUUAUUAGGGAAGAACAUAUGUGUAAGUAACUGUGCACAUCUUGACGGUACCUAAUCAGAAAGCCACGGCUAACUACGUG